UCUCCGUAGGUGAACCUGCGGAGGGAUCAUUACAGAGUUCAUGCCCUACCGGGUAGAUCUCCCACCCUAUGUUAUUAUUACUUUGUUGCUUUGGCGGGCCGUUAGGCUCCGGCCCGACUACCGCCCUCGGCUGGUAAGCGCCCGCCAGAGGACCCAAAACCCUGAAUAUUAGUGUCGUCUGAGUACUAUAUAAUAGUUAAAACUUUCAACAACGGAUCUCUUGGUUCUG
rnacentral:misc_RNA from 1 species